GUGUCAGCCGCCGCGGUAAGACGAGGGAUCCUAGCGUUGUUCGGAAUCAUUGGGCGUAAAGCGGGUGUAGGUGGGCUUCUAAGUCAGAUGUGAAAUCCCAGGGCUCAACCCUGGAAGUGCAUUUGAUACUGGAAGUCUUGAGUGUGGUAGAGGUUACUGGAAUUGUUGGUGUAGUGGUGAAAUACGUAGAUAUCAACAGGAAUACCGGAGGCGAAGGCGAGUAACUGGGCCAACACUGACACUGAGACCCGAAAGCGUGGGGAUCAAACAGGAUUAGAUACCCUGGUAGUCCACGCCAUAAACGAUGGAUACUUGUUGUUAGAGGUAUUGACCCCUCUAGUGACGUAGCUAACGCGUUAAGUAUCCCGCCUGGGGAGUACGGUCGCAAGAUUAAA
rnacentral:rRNA from 1 species